UCUCAGAACCGCCGAGCGCCGGAUGACUCCACCUACACGGGCCUGCAGAAACGAUCAGAACCGACGUAUAAAGAGCUUCCUGUGAGGAGAGAGCGUCAGCGGAAGAACGAGCAGGUUUACCAGGGUCUGAGCUCGGUCACCAGAGACACCUACGACUCCCUGCAGAUGCAGCCGCUUCCGGCCCGCUAACCGGGUCGGUUCUGAAGAAUCCUGCAGAUCAGCACCAAGUUUUACUCUGAUUGGACCCGACGGCUCCUCAACAUCUGGGAAUUUAAGGCUUUUCCCACCAGAUUUGGAGCUUUAAAAUUCUGAAAUAUGACAGUUUUUUUAUUUAGAGCUCAUCAAUGUGAUCAAUAGUUUUGAUUAGUUUAAAGGGAAAUCAAUAAUUCCACUCAUUAAUUAGCAUUCGAUGCCGAGAAGUUUCACUGUUGUGUAAAUAUUUGUAUGAGGAUGAGAAACAGGAGGAAACCUGCUCAAUAGUUUCUGCUUCUAAUGUCUGACUGUGUGAAGUCUGAAGAACCUGAAGUCAGUUUGAA